rnacentral:rRNA from 1 species
GACGAACGCUAGCGGCGUGCUUAACACAUGCAAGUCGAGCGGAAAGACCCUUCGGGGUACUCGAGCGGCGAACGGGUGGGUAACACGUGAGUAACCUGCCCCAGACUUUGGGAUAACCCUCGGAAACGGGGGCUAAUACCGGAUACGACACAGCUUCGCAUGGGGUCUGUGUGGAAAGUUUUUCGGUUUGGGAUGGGCUCGGGGCCUAUCAGCUUGUUGGUGGGGUGAUGGCCUACCAAGGCGACGACGGGUAGCCGGCCUGAGAGGGCGACCGGCCACACUGGGACUGAGACACGGCGCAGACGCCUACGGGAGGCAGCAGUGGGGAAUAUUGCACAAUGGGCGGAAGCCUGAUGCAGCGACGCUGCGUGAGGGAUGACGGCCUUCGGGUUGUAAACCUCUUUCAGCAGGGACGAAGCGUAAGUGACGGUACCUGCAGAAGAAGCGCCGGCCAACUACGUG